rnacentral:rRNA from 1 species
GGCUGGGUGAGGUGCGUCCAUGUGCGAUUGGGAUUUUUCCAGUCCACUCCUCGCGCGCGACGUGCGUCCUGGGACCGCCCAAUCCCCGAGCCCUCACCCCUUCUUCCUCCUCUCUCCCACGUCAGCCGCCAUAGCAAGAACCGUAGCCCCCUUCCCUAGAUCCCCGUUGCCGCCGCCCCUCCCGCAUCUGCUCUCUCCUUCCUCUCUCUGUUGUCAGCCGCCGCUACAACUCCUCCCUUCCCCGUCUUUGUCCGUGCAGCCGACCAACUUAGCUCCGCCCGGCGAUCGCUGCCUCCCCAGUUCAUCAUCCCUCCCUUGCUGCUCUACUUUCACCAGGGACGGACGAAUCCAUGCACCCCGUCGCCUAGAACCGCUAGGUGAAGAAGAUGGACGAGCGCGAGGGUCGGAGGAGGCCACAAGGCGACGGAUCUAGCGCGGGAUUACGGGUUUCAAGACCCUCGUGGUUGACCUCCUCUUCGCUUCUUCCUCGUACUACUGCAUCCCUUCGGUUCUUCCCCUCUAUAAUGUGAUGCAGAUUACUUGUGAUUUUCUGCAAAAUCAACUUGUCAAGGAGUGGUGUCAAUGGAAGGCGUGACAGUCAUUCUGGUGACAUAUGCACAUCAGGUCGGCACCGCUGUUGUCACUGGGCAGAAUGGAUGACUGGCCAUGGGCAGGCUCGGAGCCCUCUGCGAACAGGUUUGCAUGUUCAGUCAAUGGGAAAUUGGUAGCAACUUUCCUGCACUUUUUGGAUGCAUUGCUUUGAUAGUUUUGCUUGCGGUGCCUAAAUUACAGCCUGCCAAUGGCGUGGAGUUUAGGUGGCUAGCCCAUGCAUUGGGAAGAGUUUGGGCGGGUCGCGGUUGAUAUCGGACCUGUAAAUGAAGAAAUUUUCAUUGCAGUGGGCAUAAUUAAUGGUGUGGUGGGGCUUAGUUGCGCGCUCGUUGGUCUGCCCAGGGCGAAGGAGUUCACCGUGGUGGACAUGCCACUCCUGGAGCGGCUCUUCAUGUUCCUGCCGCCUAAUGUUGUGGUGGGGCUUAGGAUCGCUUGUGCUCCCAACCCGCGGGUGCUCGCCUACCUAGACACAAAGAGCUCGCAUGCUACAGAUUGGUGUCAGCAUCAUUGGGGCACAUCUCUCUGUAACUAUCAAUGACUGGUGGUGAGUUCAGCGGCUGCCGCCUCCUCUUCUCUUCGAAUCCAGUAAUCCCUCUCGUGAGUGCAUCAAGGGAUGUCAUGCCCUCAACUAGCGAGUUUAUGAUUCAGACCAUUCCAUAACAAAAUGCAUAUAUGGCCUCACGAUCAUUUUACAAAAUAGAAGUAUAGAGGAAUUAAUAUAUAGAAGUUAUGACCAUCGUGUAGAGUGAUCUCUGAAGAUGGAUUGCAGAUAAGUAUAUUAACAAUUUAGUAUUGACCCUAUUUCUGUUGAUACUUUACUUUACUAAAUCUUUCGUAUUAACCAUAAGCAUAAAGGAUAUCAUGUUGGGUUGCAUUGCCAUGUAAGGAAUGGGUAUCCUAAACCUGAGAAAGUACCAACGCAGAUGAUAGUUUCUUAGGAAUAUCAUCGUGUUGUUACAGCAAAGAUGGCUAGCUGUAGCACCUUCUAUAAUUCAGUUUACUAUUAGGGAUAUCAUUCAAUCUCUGAACUAUGUAUUACCGUUAUAAAUUUGGCUAGGGAAUCUCUCAUUUUAAUAUUGCAAUGAAGUGGUUGGGAUGGAGAGGGUUUUUUACUUGACUACUUUCUGACUAUAUACCUUUCUGUUUUGUGCAAGUACAAAGUAUUAGUAAUUUCAGUCUGUCCAAUUUUUGCAAGGAUAAUUGUGUGAGUCUGGUCCAAACUUUAAGACAAUCACUUAAUACAUUCAUGGGAUCACCAACUUUUGGCGUUUUUUGAGACUAGCUAGGUGGGAUCAUGAAUUCCAAGAAGACUGUGGUAAUUAUCCUACUUUGUUUGCAAGAUUGGUUUCUAAAAAUAUCAUGGUAGUUGUAAUUUCAGGUUGCUGCUGAUUUGACUGAAUAUGUUUUGAUGGUUUUUUAAUCUUUCAUCUUUACUGUGUGUAAAAGUAACUAAUUCAUUCCUAAUUGAAUCUUUCAAUGGUUGAUGGGAACACUACAGAUCUUGCUUCUCUGCUUUUUAAUGUUUCAUAUGUUUUCAUGUACAAACCGAGGCGUGCGGGCACCAUGUGUUUCUAUUGCAGAGGUUGAUCACCGUGUGUAUGGCUUGCUGGUUGCGCCAGUAGAGUUUCUCAGAAUGUUGUUUGUCCAGUCUUUGUUAAUAAUGUGAUCAUCACAGAACUAAAAGACAAUGUUUGGUACUGAAUUGCAGUUCGCUUUGUUAAUUUCUGCGACACCAUUUCAUAUUUACAUUUGAAUUGUACUUACUUAGUUUGUAAGGCCUUAUAGUUUCAAUGCUUUAUUUGCUUGUGGAACUACGGCUCUGUUACAUUUUGAUGAUUGUAUAUUUUUGUAUAUGAAAUUUGUAGAACAAAAGUAAAAAAAUGGAGGGCCUAGCUUACUUUGGUAUUAAGGGACAAGGAGCUGUAGCGUCAUGGAUUGGAGCGAAGGGGAGGUCCUGACGACUGAAGAUGGUGUGUAGGGGAGGAGCUCGAAGCGGCACUCCCAUGGAGGGAUGGCUGAUGUCAAGGUGCUAAAAUCUUAUGUGUCAAGGGCAUUGUGAUGGCGCGAUCCAUGUCUCCUGCUAGCGCUCGACGUCCCGUAGCCCCAAAGAGGAGGGCUCCAAGGUUGGACAACAAGCUUCACUGGAUGAAAGCAUUUCCCUUCUAAAACAGAGUGCUGCUGAUAUGAAUGCACAAGUUAGUCUUGAUACUAAGAUGGUCAUGGAAUUGCUUGAUCUAUACUAGGUCAACAUGUCAGCCAACCACUUAAAAAUAAUCAUUUGCAUUUCUUCCUCUAAACUGUGAAACCUGACGAGUGAUGACGCAUCAGCAAUUUAGCAAUAGAAGAUGUCAGUGAACACGAGUGCCAGUCAAGAGCAAUGAAACGCUAGAUACUUUAGAGUGUAAUUUUAUAUAAGAAUAAAUAAAUGACACUUAAGUCAUUAAGCAAUUGUUGUUGAGGUAUUGUCUCACCCUUUAUCUGCUCUCUUUUAAACUGUGGAAUGCUAUGGGCUGGAGCUACAGGGGAGGAGGGAGGUAAGCGUGAAUGCAAUGAAUAUUGUUCGGAUAAAAAAUUGGGUGCAAACUGAGUACUGACGGUGAGACUUAUUCAUUUGUUUAUCCUUUUGCCCUUUUAAUCAAGAACAAUGUUCAGAGCUUACAUGGUUGCUGAAAUUUAAAUCUAUGAAAUAGAAAUAUUAAUACCAUACAAUGAUCAGUGCAGAGUAGGAUAGUUAUUGAGUUCUUCCUGAGUUUUCAUUGAGAAAAGAUUGGAACUGUGUGAUUUGUUCUGAACUUCUAAUACAAAGUAAAGAUGGUGUGCAUGGGAGGAGCUUGAAGUGGCAUUCCCAUGGAGGGAUGGCUGAUGGCAAGGUGCUAAAAUCUUAUGUGUCAAGGGCAUUGUGAUGGCGCGAUCCAUGUCUCCUGCGAGCGCUCAGCAUCCCGGAGCCCCAAAGAGCUGGACAACAAGCUUCACUGGAUGAAAGUGUUUCCCUUCUAAAACGGAGUGCUGCUGACAUGAAUGCACAAGUUAGUCUUGAUACUAAGAUUGUCAUGGAAUUGCUUGAUCUAUGCUAGGUCAAUAUGUCAGCCAACCACUUAAAAAUAAUCAAUUGCAUUUCUUCCUCUGAACUGUGAAACCUGACGAGUGAUGACGCAUCAGCAAUUUAGCAAUAGAAGAUGUCAGUGAACACGAGUACUCAGUCAAGAGCAAUGAAGCCUAGAUACUUUAGAGUGUAAUUUUAUAUAAGAAUAACUAAAUGACACUUAAGUCAUUGAGCAAUUGUUGUUGAGGUAUUGUCUCACCCUUUAUCUGCUCUGUUUUAAACUGUGUAAUGCUAUGGGCUGGAGCUACAGGGGAAGAGGGAGGUAAGCGUGGAUGCAAUGAAUAUUGUUCGGAUAAAAUAUUGUCUUCAGCCAUCUGUCUCGCUCUGGUUUUCCUGUAGUGUGGAGUUUCAACUCUCGAUCUGGUCCGCGUGUUAUUGAUUCAGCUGCCUCACCAUUGCAGGAAAUUAUUGUGUGCUUUAGAUUGGGAUGCUGAACCAGAUGAAAAAUGUCACUGCAGCUUUGAGUGCAGUCAUAGGUUUGAAUUGUAAACUGUAGCUGCUUAAAACUUUGGUAUAAAAUAAAGCCCUUACUGGUAGAUGAGGCACGUUAUUAGCAACGUUUCACAUUUUCUUACUUGCAAUACUAUGAUUGCCUGUUCAGGUCUUCCAAGACCUAAAUCAUCAUAAAUCCAGCACACACAACACCUUUUUUAAAACUUCGGUUACCCUGAUUAAGCCUCCGUUCAAUUUUCUUAUAUGGAGGGGUUAGAAAUAGUUACCUUGCUUGCUUGCUCGAAACUAAAUCUACUGAUAAACGGAAUUUUUUCAAACCACACAUGGUGUUUAGUGGGUCUCAUGAUGGAUUGGGUUGUGGUAGUAGUUCUUGGGUGCAAUAUCUAUCUUGAUAAAGCGAUCGAUCAGGGCGCAUCGGAGGCAGAAGAAGAGAAAAUGUUUCGGGUGUCUGUGGUGUUGAACAUUCACUGUUUAUGUGCUUUGUACAUGCACGACCAGUUCAGUAACUAGAUGGCCUUUUCUACUGUACUGGUGCUGCUACUUUUCACAUGCUAGCUUAUUUGAAAAGCGCCAACAGUGUGUGCCACUUGUAAACAGUCCAUGUUGAAAGAAUAGAAGCAGAAGUGUGGAGAUAAUGUAAUUGGUCAGUCAGGAAAUUCAGUCUCAAUGAGCUCAACUAAUGACAUGUGUGAGUUGAGCCUGAGGUGUUUUCCAAGUAACAACAGUAUUUUACUUUCCUUUUCAUGUUUGUGGUCGAUGGUACUUACAUGUUGUUCAGG